CAGCCGUAAACUAUGCGCGUUAGGUGUAUCGGUGACCACGAGUCACCGAGGUGCCGAAGGGAAACCGUGAAACGUGCCGCCUGGGAAGUACGGUCGCAAGGCUGAAACUUAAAGGAUUGGCGGGGGAGCACCACAACGGGUGGAGCCUGCGGUUUAAUUGGACUCAACGCCGGGAAGCUCACCGGAUAAGACAGCGGAAUGAUUGCCGGGCUGAAGACUCUGCAUGACUAGCUGAGAGGUGGUGCAUGGCGUCAGUGACU
rnacentral:rRNA from 1 species